UACGAAGGGUGCAAGCGUUACUCGGAAUUACUGGGCGUAAAGCGUGCGUAGGCGGUUUGUUAAGUCCGUUGUGAAAGCCCUGGGCUCAACCUGGGAAUUGCAGUGGAUACUGGCGGGCUAGAGUGCGGUAGAGGAUGGUGGAAUUCCCGGUGUAGCGGUGAAAUGCGUAGAGAUCGGGAGGAACACCCGUGGCGAAGGCGGCUCUCUGGGACGGUACUGACGCUGAGACGCGAAAGCGUGGGGAGCGAACAGG
rnacentral:rRNA from 1 species